GACUUCUAAGAGCCUUGAGGCUAGGCAUAGGUUGCCAUGAUGCUUAUAAGCAAUUAUUUCUGCAGUGUUCUUAUGAUGAUAGGAUGUUUGUCCACGUGUCGGGGCAGUGGAUGAAUUGAGGGAGGUUUACUCAGCGUGUAAUCAAGGGAUUCAACAUCUUAUUUACGAUAGUGGAAAUGGUCAGAUGUGGGGUAGUGAAUGUAAUGAGACUUGGCAUUUGCUAGCGUGGUGGAGCUUUCUUAUAUGAUGGGGUGUCGUGGUCCUAUUGGAACAUACCAAGUUCGUUGAUGUUAUAAUCUGCUUCAAUUCGCCUUUAUGGCAGGAUAUUGUGAAAAUAGUAUUGGAGAUACGACUGCCAGUUGUCGCAUGGUGCGGUGGUUCAAGAUUGAAUAUGAAUUUCUAAUGUUAACAGAUCGAUAAAGAUGACAUUUAGAAAGUCUUAAAGAUUAGCAGCUAUUGUGGGUUCAAGUUCCAUGAAGAUAGGUUUUAUUUAAGGUAACAAUUGAGCAGCAGAGUAUGAGGAAAGACAUCUGGGAAGUGUCAGGCGGUGUUUAAAUUUCUAGGAGGCCAAGUAUGAGAAGCAAGGUCGAGUGACUGAUUAAGGAGAUGAGUUCCGCCAAAGUGGGAGAGUAGCAGGUGUUGCAUACGGGCUUGGUAGUAGGAUGACUACGCACCUUAAGGAGAGUUUGGAUUGAAUUGGGGAUUUUAAGGAUUUGUGAUUGAAGCCUGCGGGUAUGAUGUGAAGUAUGGGAUAUUGGUGUCACAGCGAAUGUACCUCGUGCAACUACGUGGGAAAAUGUUGGGAGGUGAUUCGCCUAGGUGGUUUAUUCCCCAUGAGCAGUUUAGACGUCGCAUGAUUAGCGAAGCUUCUGCAAAGAAUUAUAUUGGUUGUUCAACAAAGAGAUCAAUUGUGUGAAUGUGGAUAUGAUUCAGAAAAGAAAAGAUGGGGAUUUACAGGAAGAUUCCGAGAAAUUUUGAUAGUUUAUGGCGCGAGGUUAUGUCAAUAAGAGGUUGGGCGAACUCUAGAAUUGUGAAAUUAUGGCUUAAAGUAAAGUGGGAGAGCCCCACCACUUAUGAUUGGGCUGUAUAGUUUACUCUUUGCGUUAUUUCUGGUUAUUAGCAUAUUGAUGGGUUAUUUAAGCUAUGAGAAAAGAUCGUAUGUGGUAAUUCGAGCAAAUGAAUUAUUGGAGGCAUGCUAUGGUUGGCCUUAUUGGCUCAUAUUCGGACUAGGAAAAAGGUCCAGAAUUUAUGCCUCGUGUAGAUGCAGGUUUCAGAGGAAGUGAUUUCGUCGGGUGCUUCGUGGAGAGAGUGUUCGUGUGUUAUAAGAUCUAUAGACUGAGUUAUAUUCGGGACCAAAACAGAGCGGGCCGCUCUCAAUAAUGGUUCCAGUGAAUUCAGGAGUUUAAGUGUGGUGCUCAAUAAUUUCGAGCCUAUGGGUAUAGUUAAGAAUCAAGGUUUGUAGCAGCUUAUGAGAAGGUGCCCAAAAUGUUCUAUGAUAUUUUGACUUGUGAUGUAGCAUUUGAGUGAUAUGAAAUAGUUCGUGGGAAUUUAGUGUUGAAACACGUUCUCAAUACAUACUAAACGUGUGUUCAUAUUUGUAGGUUUUGAUAAA
rnacentral:lncRNA from 1 species